rnacentral:rRNA from 1 species
UACGAAGGGGGCUAGCGUUGUUCGGAAUUACUGGGCGUAAAGCGCACGUAGGCGGAUUAGUAAGUCAGGGGUGAAAUCCCGGGGCUCAACCUCGGAACUGCCUUUGAUACUGCUGAUCUCGAGUCUGGAAGAGGUGAGUGGAAUUCAUAGUGUAGAGGUGAAAUUCGUAGAUAUUAGGAAGAACACCAGUGGCGAAGGCGGCUCACUGGUCCGGUACUGACGCUGAGGUGCGAAAGCGUGGGGAGCAGACAGG